rnacentral:rRNA from 1 species
UACAGAGGUGGCAAGCGUUGUUCGGAAUUACUGGGCGUAAAGGGCGCGUAGGCGGUCUUGCAAGUCCUGUGUGAAAUCCCUCGGCUCAACUGAGGAACUGCACAGGAAACUGCUUGGCUUGAGUUCGGGAGAGGGAAGCGGAAUUCCGGGUGGUAGCGGUGAAAGUGACGUAGAUAUCCGGAGGAACACCGGUGGCGAAGGCGGCUUCCUGGACCGACACUGACGCUGAGGCGCGAAAGCUAGGGGAGCAAACGGG